UACAGAGGUGGCAAGCGUUGUUCGGAAUUACUGGGCGUAAAGGGCGCGUAGGCGGUCUUGUCAGUCCCUUGUGAAAUCCCCCGGCUCAACUGGGGAACUGCACGGGAAACAGCAGGGCUUGAGUUCGGGAGAGGGAAGCGGAAUUCCGGGUGUAGCGGUGAAAUGCGUAGAUAUCCGGAGGAACACCGGUGGCGAAGGCGGGUCUCUGGACAGUUCCUGACGCUGAGGCACGAAGGCCAGGGGAGCAAACGGG
rnacentral:rRNA from 1 species